GACGAACGCUGGCGGCGUGCUUAACACAUGCAAGUCGAACGGAAAGGCCCUGCUUUUGUGGGGUGCUCGAGUGGCGAACGGGUGAGUAACACGUGAGUAACCUGCCCUUGACUUUGGGAUAACUUCAGGAAACUGGGGCUAAUACCGGAUAGGAGCUCCUGCUGCAUGGUGGGGGUUGGAAAGUUUCGGCGGUUGGGGAUGGACUCGCGGCUUAUCAGCUUGUUGGUGGGGUAGUGGCUUACCAAGGCUUUGACGGGUAGCCGGCCUGAGAGGGUGACCGGCCACAUUGGGACUGAGAUACGGCCCAGACUCCUACGGGAGGCAGCAGUGGGGGAUAUUGCACAAUGGGCGGAAGCCUGAUGCAGCAACGCCGCGUGCGGGAUGACGGCCUUCGGGUUGUAAACCGCUUUCGCCUGUGACGAAGCGUGAGUGACGGUAAUGGAUAAAGAAGCACCGGCUAACUACGUG
rnacentral:rRNA from 1 species